rnacentral:rRNA from 1 species
UACGUAGGUGGCAAGCGUUGUCCGGAUUUAUUGGGUUUAAAGGGUGCGUAGGCGGCUUUGUAAGUCAGUGGUGAAAUAUGGCAGCUCAACUGUCAGGGUGCCAUUGAUACUGCGGAGCUUGAGUACAGAUGAGGUAGGUGGAAUUGACGGUGUAGCGGUGAAAUGCUUAGAUAUCGUCAAGAACACCGAUAGCGAAGGCAGCUUACUGGGCUGUAACUGACGCUGAGGCACGAAAGUGUGGGGAUCAAACAGG